rnacentral:rRNA from 1 species
GGCAUGCGGCUGCUUUAACAUGCAAGUCGAACGGUAACAGGAUGCUUGCACCGCUGACGAGUGGCGAACGGGUGAGUAAUGCAUCGGAAUGUACCGUGUAAUGGGGGAUAGCUCGGCGAAAGCCGGAUUAAUACCGCAUACGCCCUGAGGGGGAAAGUGGGGGACCGUAAGGCCUCACGUUAUACGAGCAGCCGAUGUCUGAUUAGCUAGUUGGUGGGGUAAAGGCUCACCAAGGCAACGAUCAGUAGCGGGUCUGAGAGGAUGAUCCGCCACACUGGGACUGAGACACGGCCCAGACUCCUACGGGAGGCAGCAGUGGGGAAUUUUGGACAAUGGGCGCAAGCCUGAUCCAGCCAUGCCGCGUGUCUGAAGAAGGCCUUUCGGGUUGUAAAGGACUUUUGUCCGGGAGCAAAUCCCAGUGGUUAAUACCUACUGGGGCUGAGAGUACCGGAAGAAUAAGCACCGGCUAACUACGUGCCAGCAGCCGCGGUAAUACGUAGGGUGCAAGCGUUAAUCGGAAUUACUGGGCGUAAAGCGUGCGCAGGCGGUUGUGCAAGUCUGAUGUGAAAGCCCCGGGCUUAACCUGGGAACGGCAUUGGAGACUGCACGACUAGAGUGCGUCAGAGGGGGGUAGAAUUCCGCGUGUAGCAGUGAAAUGCGUAGAGAUGCGGAGGAAUACCGAUGGCGAAGGCAGCCCCCUGGGAUGACACUGACGCUCAUGCACGAAAGCGUGGGGAGCAAACAGGAUUAGAUACCCCUGGUAGUCCACGCCCUAAACGAUGUCAACUAGCUGUUGGGGGUUUGAAUCCUUGGUAGCGAAGCUAACGCGAGAAGUUGACCGCCUGGGGAGUACGGCCGCAAGGUUAAAACUCAAAGGAAUUGACGGGGACCCGCACAAGCGGUGGAUGAUGUGGAUUAAUUCGAUGCAACGCGAAAAACCUUACCUGGUCUUGACAUGUAACGAACGCCGCAGAGAUGUGGUGGUGCCCGAAAGGGAGCGUUAACACAGGUGCUGCAUGGCUGUCGUCAGCUCGUGUCGUGAGAUGUUGGGUUAAGUCCCGCAACGAGCGCAACCCUUGCCAUUAGUUGCCAUCAUUAAGUUGGGCACUCUAAUGGGACUGCCGGUGACAAACCGGAGGAAGGUGGGGAUGACGUCAAGUCCUCAUGGCCCUUAUGACCAGGGCUUCACACGUCAUACAAUGGUCGGUACAGAGGGUCGCGAAGCCGCGAGGUGGAGCCAAUCUCAUAAAACCGAUCGUAGUCCGGAUCGCACUCUGCAACUCGAGUGCGUGAAGUCGGAAUCGCUAGUAAUCGCAGAUCAGCAUGCUGCGGUGAAUACGUUCCCGGGUCUUGUACACACCGCCCGUCACACCAUGGGAGUGAGUUUCACCAGAAGUGGGUAGGCUAACCGUAAGGAGGCCGCUACCACGUGAUGUGGC